CUGCUAUCCCAAGAACAGAACCAGCCACCCACCUCUCUCUCUCCCCAAAAACAGAGCAUGGCCGCCGCCGCCUUGAUCUGCCCCAUCCGGGCAUCUCCCGCGACACGGUCCGGUGGGCUUGCCAUCGGCUGCAGCGGCAACGAUGUCUCCAUGCCUACUUCCUCCCCCAGCGCAGCCACACGCACGAGGCUUGCGGCCACGGGCGUCGGGCGUGUGCGGCUUCACCGACGCUGCUCGGUCGCAUGGCUCUGCUUCUAACGGUGUGGACUAGCCACAUCCUACUGCUACUACUGCAGUGGAGAUUAUUGACUAAGGAGCCAGAUCGGGAUGCCCUGGACCUGCUCAUCGCCAAAAUUCGGGCUUCAGCCUCUCAGAUCUCCAGGACGAAUCAUGGCGUAUAAGCUUGGUGCUGUAGUUUGCGGGAUUAGGUCUCCUUCUCUCCCCGGCCUGCGUGCCGUGUUUGGCAGCUGCCUGUUUCGUUAGGAAUUUGGGCCUAUUUAACUUCUCUUUGUGUUUCUGAGACUGUGUGAACCUUGGGUAUUCGUGACGCUGCCAUGUGGCUUUAUUUAUA